UUCUGGGAUGAUAUCGCUGCAUAGGAAGUGCCGUCCGAUGCGAAACUGACGAUUGGAAAAGCUUUUCUGAGA
ensembl:snoRNA small nucleolar RNA SNORD49